rnacentral:rRNA from 1 species
GAUCCUGGCUCAGGACGAACGCUGGCGGCGUGCUUAACACAUGCAAGUCGAACGAGAAUCUACUGAAAGAGUUUUCGGACAAUGGAUGUAGAGGAAAGUGGCGGACGGGUGAGUAACGCGUGAGGAACCUGCCUUGAAGAGGGGGACAACAGUUGGAAACGACUGCUAAUACCGCAUGACGCAUAGAGGUCGCAUGAUCUUUAUGCCAAAGAUUUAUCGCUUCAAGAUGGCCCUCGCG